rnacentral:lncRNA from 1 species
GGAAUGAAAAGCCAUAUGAGCUGAAAUGGAGAUUUUUUUUAAAAGUAAUUCUUUGAGUGUAAGCUAGAUUUACAAGAAAACUGUGGAUCACCAACAUUCAUAUGAAAGCAAUAUAGUAGACGUGUUUACUUGGAGUAUAUGUGUGCUCCAAGAGUCACCUUGUACAAAAAAGGAUGAGCUUUAAUUACAAUAAAACAUCUGUUCCUCUUAUAAAAUGGAAGUCAGCUUCUAACAAAUUGUGCUUUUCUCUCACAUUCUUUUGAUAUGCUUACAAUUUUACUAAGAAACGUUUUCAGAAAAAAAAAAAAUAGAGUUUUUGGAAACUUUUCAUUGCUGGUUCUCUUCUCCCCGUGCAGUUUAGCUGGGGGAUAGGCUGGGGACAGGCCUUUGCUGUGGUGACACAGGAAGCCUCCCCUGCUGCUCCCUCCUGAGCAGGGGGGGAAUCUCUUCCAUUGGCUUGGGUUGACCUGGCUAUGAUUCUUCCCCUCGGUUUUCUGAGAGACGUGCAUCGUUUUCUUCCAUUUCUGACAUUUGCUGACACCCACAGUAUUGGUACCUUGUAGCUUCAGAGGCUGCUGUUGCAUUUGGAUUUUGGAUGCAAAGCCAAAAAAUGUCCUCUGUUGUGAAUGCAUUUAGUGCUCAUGGACUGCCAGCUUCCCCUGAUGCGGGCAUUCUUCAUUUUUCACCGGUGAUGGAAAUAGUGUACGGCUUGCUUUUAAAACAGCCACCAGACGAGGAGCCACCUCCGCCCCAGUCUCACAGGCAGGUCUGCCGAUGUGUUUUCCUGCAACUAGUGGCAUCGGGUUCCCGCCUGGAGCACCCCAAGAUGGCAGCCGGUCUCUGGAGGACACCGGUCCAGAGGCCAGUAGAUUCAAGGAGCAUCAAAACAUGGAUGCUGGAAAGCAGAGACGGCUUUAUUUUCAGUUUGGCGCAGCUUUUUCAAUAG